UCACUGGACCUGAUCCUAACCCAUGGACUGACUUCCUGGAUUGACCCUUGGAUGUGCUUCGUCAUGAUGAUACUGCAUUAUCAUCCUGGACACUUGCUCAAGCCAGGCUGCCAUCUCUGUGUCUGCCGUGCUUGCCUCAUUCAGGAACAAUAUAUCAUUGCCUAUCCCUAAGAAGAAAGGUUUAGAGAGCAAAUUCUGCUGGGAUAGAGUUGAAGGAGUGUCUCCUCUGGAGGAAGACAAAUUUCUUUCUUUCCAAGCGCCCUUUCUGCAGACCCUGGGAGAAGCUGACCUCUCAAGGUGCCUGAAUUUCCUCUUGGAUGCUCACCCCAAAAGGGACUAACAUGCAUACAGCACGUGUAAUCAGUGGAGCUGGACCAAACAAGGAGUGACCCAAUUUGCCAAUGCCAACACAAUAGGCAGCUACCACCUUAACUACCUGCUGGGUGUCUCAGCUCAGGUGAUGUGACAAUUUCCCAGUGACAGCAAUUAUCUUUCUGGUCUGCAAUUCACUUUUUGGUGGGUUUAUCAUGGCAUCCCAGAUAAAAUAUGCAUGAGCACAUUCUGUCCAUCCUCCACAGCCAGACUUCUCUUACCGGCAGGUUAGUAGGCACACUGGUGUAGUUGGCAGCGUUAGAAAUGUUUUUCAUCCUUGCUACAGAAAUAUGAUGGUGGAGCACUUACUUGCAAGGGCCCUCUAGAUUUGUUCUUGGUACCAUUGUCUUGCUCUGAUUUCAUCCACAUUUUACUGGAAAACAGUACAGAACCAACAUAAGACUAAUGCAUAGCCUUUAAAAAAUUCAGAGAUGCAGACAGACAAUAUUAUAAACACUGUGGGCUUUAUUUAUUUAUUUAUUUUUAGUUUGUCUCAUUCCUGAAGCUGCCUUCAGCAGUUUCUGCCAGAAAAUACUGUUAUUAGAUUGUUGUAUUACAGUAGUAUUCAGCUAAUGAUUUUUAGGAAAUGGCUACAGAGAUAUCUAUUUGUCUGUGUGUGUGAAAGAGAAAUAUGCCAUUUAUAUGAAACAUCCCGUCCAUAGCCAUACCCAGUUAGUAUUGGAAGACUGUUUAUAGACUCAGUUGUACUCUGUUGGUGCUAAAAUUGAUUUCUUGGCUGAAUUAUUCUGCAAUAGAAUAAGCCCACUAAUUGUGCACCUAAAUAAAAUUGAAUUUUAACAAAUUGACUUUUAUUUUACCUAGGAUGAUAAUUUAUUGACACAAAUAGAACUUCUUAAUUAAAUUUGGCAUAUCCAGGUCUGUUGAGGACAUGUUAAACCCUUUUGCCAUGUGGUUUUAGAGUACAAAAAAAAAAAAAAUAGACUAUCUUGAUAUUCCUAGAUUAAAUUCUGUUUAUUGCAGGUUGUACAGCCAGUCAAUUAUUUUGACUAUGUAGUUCUUAAGGAUCCCACAUGGAUUUAGCAUAGAUCUUCUGUGAAGAAGGACUAUUAAUUUAUAAUUUCUCAUUAAACACAUCAGAGAUUGAAACCCAUUGUUACUAUUCUAGAAAUAGGUGUCUUAAUUCAAGAGUGCCUCACAUGCAAUCUGUAAAAAUGGAAGGAAAGCGAGGAGUACAGAAUUACAUUUAUCACCAUCUCUCACAGUCUGGAUCUUGCUAAUGCUGGAGAAGGUCACUAGAAAGGAAAAUAGCUGCAGCAUCACCAGUGCUUUAGGGGAAACUGAAGGCUCAGGGUCCUCACCUACACAUUUGCUGAGAUAAUCCCCCUGGAGGAGUUGUCAAUGAAGUUGCCCUGUUCUAUGCAGCAGGUAGGGCACCUCAGUCUCAGUGGUAACCCUGGUAAUAUGAGGCCUUGGAUUCUUCCUGGAGACCAGAGUUGAUCCCUGUGGUCUUCUGCUUUGUGGAGUGUGAUGGAAGCUUGAACCAGAGGGUGAAUGUCUGUAAAUGUCCAUAACUUUCCAGUAAAGCUUGAACCAGAAGUAAAUGUCCAUAUGUCUGAUACCACAUCAAAGAACAAGGCUGACGCUACUGACUGCCUGUUCUGCAGGACAGGCAGGAUCUAUGAGGUGCUGGUAGGCACUUCUUGGUUCCCAGCAGUAAGUGCUGCCAACCUGCCUCCUCCUUGAAGUGCUGUCACUGGUACCAACAAAGCAGGAGAGGAGCAAAGUAGUCUUUAAUGAAAGAUCAGCAGAUCUUUCUUCUUGCUCAUUCCUUAGGGCUGCAAACCACGAAGGAGAAAACAAAAACUUUCUUGACUUCAUACUUAGGGACAAGAGGAUGGAUUAAAUUCUAAUUGUGUUAUCAUGCUUCACCCAAAGUUAUGAUAUUUUUUCUUGAUUUCUAUAGCCGCUUUGCAUUUAGGUCUUAUAUUUUUGUGUUAUACAAGUAUGCAUUGGUAGAACACCCAGAUAUUUACAUUCAGGAUAAAUAUACAAAGAAAAAAUGCAGUGAAAACCAGCUGUGAAACAAAGAUAUAUGUGAUGUCAGAGUACAUAUAGCAGUCUUCAGUUAAGGUUUCUCCCUUUCCUAGUUAUGUAAACAUGUUGCUAUAUGGUUUCUGAACAAGGAGGUACCUGUUUUUGUCUCUUUGAAAAGAAGAGCAGCUGCUUUGUUGCUGCUUUGCUCAGGGAAUGGACUCUGCUUUCAAGGGACAGUGCCUGAGCAGGUUUACUGCUAUGUGUCCUUUCACCUGGGUGCCUACAACUUACUGCUGCUCAGUUAAUUUAAAGGUGACUGCAUUAAACUAUCAGAUUGGUAAACACUGCCUAACAUGCUGGUCAAUGUACUGCUUGUAUUUCAGAGCAUGUAUUUCACAGGGGGAGAUCUCUGCCUUUUUGGUAUCCUGUUUUGAUCAGGUUACAAGUGCAGCAGUCCCCUGGGCUCUGCUCAGAGGAGCACGCCCAAGGACUGGACUGGGCUUGGCUUGCAGGGGCACUCUACCUUUCUACUUCUUUUCCAUCAUUUGCAACGAUGAAGCAAGGUUUUGGCUUGAAAAGUCUCAGUGUUAAGUAGGAUGGCAGCAUUUUGGACUACACUGAAGUGGUAGAAGUCUGUUCACGGGUAAAUUCCUUGAGGUGCUUGGGAGUCACUCUUUACUGCUAUUUGCUGCCAGUAGCAUCUUCUUUUGCUUUCUCCCAAUUUACGACUCCAUUUUGAAGUCUGUAGGCCUAAUAUGUUUCGCGCUGUUCCUUUUCUUUAGUAACACAGCAGGCAGACACCAUCAAGCAGCUCAAAACACCCUCCUUAGGUUUCCAGAAUGAAGCUAUUAGCCAAGGAAAAACACCACUUCUUCCCUCCUUUACCCAUCUGGUGCCUACUCUGCAGGGAUGAAAACUGUCAGUCUGUAAUAGGCUGACACAGUACUGAGAGGGUGGCCUUCUUUAUGAGGGAGGAAUACAUAUUUGUAUGACUUUAAGAUUUUUUUCUUCCUCUAGUUUCUACUGUAUUCUGAAAUGGGCUAUGUACCUGCAUUUGGCAAGAGAAACAAGGAGGAAGGAGGCAGGGGUGAGGAGUGAAACCAUAAACAAGCCAGCCCAAGACAGCCCCUUGUUGUGAGGCUACCUAUUUUGACACAUGCUCGUAUAUUUUAGAGUACAGCACAUUGAAGGUGACUGUUUUGGCUGCUCUCACUCCUGGUUCUUGGCUCCCAGCCUGGCUUCUGGAGUACAGGGAAGAGUCAGCCCCCUGCCAAGCUGACAGGCGCAGACCAGGAGAACUCACCAGCAUCCUCUGCCCUCCAAAAACUAGUCCUCUGCUGGGCACAUGGGGGAACAGUGCCUCAGGUGAGGUGACAGGGCUGCCAGCUCCCAGCAUGGGUUUCAAGACACAGGAUAGCAUAACAUGGGUACAGAAGGCUGAUGCUAAAUGCCUUUUUAAAAAAGAAACAAGCAAACAAUUAAAUAUCUUUAUAUAAAGGAGGGGGAAAUACAAACCCAAACACAUUAUUUCUCAAAUGACUGUAAUAGAAGUUUUCUCAAAAAUUUCUGAAGAUAUAUCAGCUAUUAUACUUGGAUCAGAAAAAAAAAAUAAUUGUAUGCUGGCACACAGUGGGUAAAUAUCAGAUGUUGUCUGCUUGUUGGCUUUUUCUUCCAUCUCCUUCAGAUAUGCUCAUCUGAUUCUCUCUGUAGCCUGAUAACUGAAACUUACUGUUAUCAUUCUGGUCUUGCUAGAGUGCUGUGUCUAAAGUGAGCCACUGCACUUCAAAAAGAGCAAGGACUGACUGAAAAAAGACCAGGAGUCAGCAGUGAGAUACAUUUUAUGAGAAAGAUGGAACUAACCUGAAACUGGGGUGUGUGUGGUAACUAUUUUCAGGAGUUGACAUGUAAUCCUUAAUAAGAUUUUCAAAAACAUCAGCUGUAUGUAUUUAUCCCUCAGAAUGAACUAAAGUAGGACUUGAUUAGCUGAAGGCUCCCUGUGGCAUCUCAGGAAAGGGGUGAGGGCCAAAAAAUUUGGAAGACGGUUCCGGUUUAGAGCGGAUGUGCACUGCGGUGGAAACCACCACAGCACACCCUGACAUCACGCAGGUGUCUGGAGCUCAGGUUGACACCCCUUGCUCUACAGGAUAAAUUAUUUGUUUUAUUUAGGCAUGAAAUAUUCCUAUAUGCCAUAAGGACCUCGAUUAACACAUUUCAGCAUAAUUGUUUAUUUGUAUAUAUCACAUGAGUUUAAAAAAAAAUAGAAAAGUAGAAAUAACCAUUGUGGCUUAUCCUCUUGGUGAGAGAGAUAGAGGCUGUGGCUUGGGAACAAAAUAAAUUUCUUUUUCCCUAGCAUGGAAACAGGACUGGCCCAGAUGGAGAACCAGUUUUCAGAGGCAGGAGAAGCUGGAGGAUGCGGAUUGCCCUGCAGUCCUGGAGCUUUGAACUGUGGACCUCGCCUGCAGAUGCUCUAUUCCAAGGCUGGUCAUGCUGUUGCUGAGUACCAGGGCAAUGUAACUUCCUGAGUUAUUGGUUAAAGCAAAACCAAAACCCGACUUGCAUUAAGAUGACAGUACCAAACUGGAAGCUGAAGUGGUCCUUUCCAUUUGAUUGCGGUCACAUCAGGUCCUUAGACUUGAUCCUGAGCCAUCUGCUAAUUGCUGCAGUUUUGCAGUCAUAUAUCCCAAAGCUAAUUUAGUUUGGAAGAAGCUGUUGGAACAUGGAUACAUCCUUGGAAAUCACCGAGUGCCUCUGUUAAUGGGCACUGCAAAUUGAUGAGCUGCUCCAGCCUGCCCUACCACAGGACAAACUCAGAUAGUGUCCUGUCCUUCACAGACUUCUUAGGCCCUGUGCUGUUGAGUAGCUUUGGAGGAUGCUGCAAGCUAAAGGAAGCCCUGAGGCUAUCUGUCCAUAAUACCAGACUGAAGAGCUGUCUAAACACUGAAACUACAGGCAAGACACCAGAGCACCUGGGAACCCCAUGACAGAGCAUGCCAACACAUUUAUUUGCCUGCUGGCAUGUGAGAACUGCCCUGUCAGUUGGUUAUGGGGCACAUGGUGCAUGGGAUGCAGAUGGGUCAUGCUUCAGGAUGCUCUGGAGGCUUCUCUUCUUGAGCAGUACAAUUGCUGCUGCCAAAGCUCAAACUGCAGCACCACUCUGCACCCCAAAACAUUGUCAGGCAUGCUAAAGAAAAGCAGAGACUAAAUGCAGAGUGCAUUUGGACCAAGGCGGGAUCUUCAGGUUACUGCUGUUUCUUGUGAGCCUGUAUGUGUCCCUUUGAAUACAGCAGUGACAACAUAGCAAAACGUUGCUGAUGAUGCUGCACCAAACUCUCUGGGGACCUUUUAUCGACAUGGGUCUGUCAAGGUUAUUAGAAACAUCAAACUAAACAAAACGUGAUGGAAGGAUAGACACUGAUUUGUCAUCAUCUUUUCCUGUUAUAACCAGUCCUCUUAUGCUCUCCAUCACUCUGAUGCCCCGUUUGACUCAGUCUGUUAAGGUACUUGUCCUCAUGACACCCCAGUGAGGUGAGGGAAGAGCUGUAGAUGGGCACAGACAGUGUGUCUGUGUUAAUAACAAGUGAAAAAACAUUUCCAGAACUGGCUUGUGCCCCUGAGGUCACAAGCACCACGUGGGCUGUGACAGCUACCAGGGUCACCCUGGAAUAGGACUGCAAGUUGUUAUGUGCAGGCUGCAGCACAAGGCACAGUUCAACCAUGCUUCCCAGGGCCAGAGGUAUUGGAUCUUGUUAGCAGAGUCCAUAGCUGAUGGCAUGCAUCAGUUCUGAUUGUGCAAAUUAUUUUGUGGGGAAAAUAAAAACAGAAGAGAAGAGACUGUUUUGUGUGAUGCAGUUGCUGUGGAAGACUGCCAGUUGAGGAAAUGGUGGGCUGUCUCUAGUGUCCUCUGUGUCCACAUCUGGGGCCACAGGUGUCCAGCUCCUCACAAGGACUACAAAGAGAGGUGCCUGAACUUAGAUGUGUAGGACCUCUGGUCCUGAACCAAGUAUGCUAAGGGGCUUGGUAGCAGUCCCUCUCUCACAGAGCUGGUACA